rnacentral:rRNA from 1 species
AGAGUUUGAUCCUGGCUCAGGAUGAACGCUGGCGGCGUGCUUAACACAUGCAAGUCGAACGGAGAUAUCAUUUUCGAAGCGAUUAGUUUACUAAGAGCGGAGAUGUUGCUAUCUUAGUGGCGGACGGGUGAGUAACGCGUGGGUAACCUGCCUUGCACUGGGGGAUAACACUUAGAAAUAGGUGCUAAUACCGCAUAACAGUAGGAGACGCAUGUCUUUUACUUGAAAACUCCGGUGGUGUAAGAUGGACCCGCGUCUGAUUAGCUUGUUGGCGGGGUAACGGCCCACCAAGGCAACGAUCAGUAGCCGGCCUGAGAGGGUGAACGGCCACAUUGGGACUGAGACACGGCCCAAACUCCUACGGGAGGCAGCAGUGGGGAAUAUUGGACAAUGGGGGGAACCCUGAUCCAGCGACGCCGCGUGAGUGAAGAAGUAUUUCGGUAUGUAAAGCUCUAUCAGCAGGGAAGAAAGAAAUGACGGUACCUGACUAAGAAGCCCCGGCUAACUACGUG